CCUACGGGAGGCUGCAGUGGGGAAUAUUGGACAAUGGGCGAAAGCCUGAUCCAGCCAUGCCGCGUGUGUGAAGAAGGCCUUCGGGUUGUAAAGCACUUUCAGUGGGGAAGAAAGCCUUGGGGCUAAUACCCUCGAGGAAGGACAUCACCCACAGAAGAAGCACCGGCUAACUCCGUGCCAGCAGCCGCGGUAAUACGGAGGGUGCGAGCGUUAAUCGGAAUUACUGGGCGUAAAGCGCGCGUAGGCGGUCUGAUAAGCCGGGUGUGAAAGCCCCGGGCUCAACCUGGGAACGGCAUCCGGAACUGUCAGGCUAGAGUGCAGGAGAGGAAGGUAGAAUUCCCGGUGUAGCAGUGAAAUGCGUAGAGAUCGGGAGGAAUACCAGUGGCGAAGGCGGCCUUCUGGACUGACACUGACGCUGAGGUGCGAAAGCGUGGGUAGCAAACAGGAUUAGAUACCCGAGUAGUC
rnacentral:rRNA from 1 species